rfam:Marchantia polymorpha subsp. polymorpha scaffold3122, whole genome shotgun sequence.
AUACUUACCUGGGCGGGGUUCAUCGUUGAUCAAGAAGGACGAUGGCCUAGGACGAGCUGACCCAUUGCACCAAGGCUUGGCAAAUCCUAGCACUUCCUGUAUGGGAAAGUGCACGUCACAAUUUGUUACAGAGGGGCUCGCGUACGCGCGGCCCUUUA